UACGGAGGGGGCUAGCGUUGUUCGGAAUUACUGGGCGUAAAGCGCACGUAGGCGGCUUUGCAAGUUAGAGGUGAAAGCCCGGGGCUCAACUCCGGAAUUGCCUUUAAAACUGCAUCGCUAGAAUUGUGGAGAGGUAAGUGGAAUUCCGAGUGUAGAGGUGAAAUUCGUAGAUAUUCGGAAGAACACCAGUGGCGAAGGCGAUCAUCUGGGGUUGUUCUGACGCUGAGGAGCGAAAGCGUGGGGAGCGAACAGG
rnacentral:rRNA from 1 species